GCGGAUGUUAGGCAUAGUUGAAACUUUUAAGCCAUUAGAAUAAAGUUACUAUGCGAUUUGAUAACUUAUGAUGACUUUCCCUAGAUUAUGACUUAUGGAUUAUGGCUAUGAAAUUUCAUUUCGUACAUGACUUAUGAUUGGGUUAAUUGGCAUACUCGAUAAUACAAGCAUGGACAUAGUCAUGAUAUUUGGCUUAUAGACGCAAUGUUUGUAAUGCCCCGAGUCUGUACCCUGAAUGCUAC
rnacentral:lncRNA from 1 species